rnacentral:rRNA from 1 species
GACGAACGCUGGCGGCGUGCUUAACACAUGCAAGUCGAACGGUAAGGCCCUUCGGGGUACACGAGUGGCGAACGGGUGAGUAACACGUGGGUGAUCUGCCCUGCACUUCGGGAUAAGCCUGGGAAACUGGGUCUAAUACCGGAGAGGACCACUGCCUGCAUGGGUGGCGGUGGAAAGCUUUUGCGUGGUGGGAUGGGCCCGCGGCCUAGCAGCUUGUUGGUGGGGUGAUGGCCUACCAAGGCGACGACGGGUAGCCGGCCGGAGAGGGUGCCCGGCCAUACUGGGACUGCGAUACGGCCCAGACUGCUCCGGGAGGCAGCAGUGGGGAAUAUUGCACAAUGGGCGCAAGCCUGGUGCAGCGACGCCGCGUGAGGGAUGACGGCCUUCGGGUUGUAAACCUCUUUCAGCACCGACGAAGCGCAAGUGACGGUAGGUGCAGAAGAAGGACCGGCCAACUACGUGCCAGCCGCCGCAGUAA